GCAAGUCUGGUGCCAGCAGCCGCGGUAAUUCCAGCUCCAAUAGCGUAUAUUAAAGUUGUCGCAGUUAAAAAGCUCGUAGUUGAACCUCGGGAUCAAUGGAUCGGUCAUGCCAUCGGUAUGUACUGGUCUCAUUGGUUCUCACCUUCUAAGGAACCAUGAUGUCAUUCAGUUGAUGUUGUGGGGAAUUAGGACUGUUACCUUGAAAAAAUUAGAGUGUUUAAAGCAGGCUAACGCUUGAAUACAUUAGCAUGGAAUAAUGAAAUAGGACAUCGCAUUCUAUUUUGUUGGUUUCUAGGAUCGAUGUAAUGAUUAAUAGGGAUAGUUGGGGGCAUUAGUAUUCAAUUGUCAGAGGUGAAAUUCUUGGAUUUAUUGAAGACUAACUACUGCGAAAGCAUUUGCCAGGGAUGUUUUCAUUAAUCAAGAACGAAAGUUAGGGGAUCGAAGAUGAUCAGAUACCGUCGUAGCCUUAACCAUAAACUAUGCCGACUAGGGAUCGGAUGAUGUUGAUUUUUUAAUGACUCAUUCGGCGCCUUACGGGAAAC
rnacentral:rRNA from 1 species